UCUAUACUGUGAAACUGCGAAUGGCUCAUUAAAUCAGUUAUCGUUUAUUUGAUAGUACCUUACUACUUGGAUAACCGUGGUAAUUCUAGAGCUAAUACAUGCUAAAAACCCCGACUUUUGGAGGGGUGUAUUUAUUAGAUAAAAAACCAAUGCCCUUCGGGGCUCCUUGGUGAUUCAUAAUAACUUAACGAAUCGCAUGGCCUUGUGCCGGCGAUGGUUCAUUCAAAUUUCUGCCCUAUCAACUUUCGAUGGUUAGGUCUUGGCUAACCAUGGUUUCAACGGGUAACGGGGAAUUAGGGUUCUAUUCCGGAGAGUGAGCCUGAGAAACGGCUAACACAUCCAAGGAAGGCAGCAGGCGCGCAAAUUACCCAAUCCCGAUACGGGGAGGUAGUGACAAUAAAUACUGAUCCAGGGCUCUUUUGGGUCUUGGAAUUGGAAUGAGUACAAUUUAAAUCCCUUAACGAGGAACAAUUGGAGGGCAAGUCUGGUGCCAGCAGCCGCGGUAAUUCCAGCUCCAAUAGCGUAUAUUAAAGUUGUUGCAGUUAAAAAGCUCGUAGUUGAACCUUGGGUCUGGUUGGCUGGUCCGCCUCACCGCGUGUACUGGUCCGACCGGAUCUUUCCUUCUGGGGAGCCGCAUGCCCUUCACUGGGUGUGUCGGGGAACCAGGACUUUUACUUUGAAAAAAUUAGAGUGUUCAAAGCAGGCCUAUGCUCGAAUACAUUAGCAUGGAAUAAUAGAAUAGGACGUGUGGUUCUAUUUUGUUGGUUUCUAGGACCGCCGUAAUGAUUAAUAGGGAUAGUCGGGGGCAUCAGUAUUCAAUUGUCAGAGGUGAAAUUCUUGGAUUUAUUGAAGACUAACUACUGCGAAAGCAUUUGCCAAGGAUGUUUUCAUUAAUCAGUGAACGAAAGUUAGGGGAUCGAAGACGAUCAGAUACCGUCGUAGUCUUAACCAUAAACUAUGCCGACUAGGGAUCGGGCGAUGUUACUUUUUUGACUCGCUCGGCACCUUACGAGAAAUCAAA
rnacentral:rRNA from 1 species